rnacentral:tRNA from 2 species
GCCGGGGUUGCAGAGAGGCACUGCGGUGGACUCGAGAUCCACUGCCCGAUGAGGGCACCUGGGUUCAAGUCCCAGCCCCGGCG